rnacentral:rRNA from 1 species
GAUGAACGCUGGCGGCGUGCCUAAUACAUGCAAGUCGAGCGAACAGACGAGUGGCUGGCUCCUCUGACGUUAGCGGCGCACGUGUGAGUAACAUGUGGAUAUCCUCCCUAGAAGACUGGGAUAACUUCGGGACACCGGAGCUAAUACCGGGUAAUAUAUUGAACCGCAUGGUUCAAUUGUGAAAGACGGCUUUGCUGUCACCUGUAGAUUGAUCCGCGCCGCAUUAGCUAGUUGGUAAGGUAACGGCUUACCAAGGCAACGAUCCGUAGCCGACCUGAGAGGGUGAUCGGCAACACUGGAACUGAGACACGGUCCAGACUCCUACGGGAGGCAGCAGUAGGGAUUCUUCAGAAAUGGGCGAAAGCCUGACGGAGCAACGCCGCGGGAGUGAUGAAGGUCUCCGGAUCGUAAAACUCUGUUAUCGGGAAAAAACAAAUGAGUAAGUAACUAUGCACGUAUUGACGGAACCGAAGAAGAAAGCCACGGCUAACUAGGG